rnacentral:rRNA from 1 species
AAUGACGGUACUUGAGGAGGAAGCCCCGGCUAACUACGUGCCAGCAGCCGCGGUAAUACGUAGGGGGCUAGCGUUAGCCGGAUUUACUGGGCGUAAAGGGUGCGUAGGCGGUCUUUCAAGUCAGGAGGGAAAGGCUACGGCUCAACCGUAGUAAGCUCUUGAAACUGGGAGACUUGAGUGCAGGAGAGGAGAGUGGAAUUCCUA